rnacentral:other from 1 species
UCGCGGCUGCGGCGUUCGAACAGGCUCACAUUCCGGCGACCUUACAUUUUCGUCAGGGAACUGGCGCUGCCCGGAUCGUGGUCCGGGUAACUGGUGCCCACCUAGCUUGCUGGGUCGACGGGAAUGCAAACCCCUGUACGGCGCUCGCGGUUGCCUU